UACGUAGGGGGCUAGCGUUGUCCGGAAUCAUUGGGCGUAAAGAGCGUGUAGGCGGUCCGGUAAGUCCGCUGUGAAAGUCGGGGGCUCAACCCUCGAAUGCCGGUGGAUACUGUCGGGCUAGAGUGCGGAAGAGGCGAGUGGAAUUCCUGGUGUAGCGGUGAAAUGCGCAGAUAUCAGGAGGAACACCUAUUGCGAAGGCAGUUCGCUGGGACGUAACUGACGCUGAGAAGCGAAAGCGUGGGGAGCAAACAGG
rnacentral:rRNA from 1 species